UCUAAUACCGGAUAACACCGGCCUUCGCAUGGGGGCUGGUUGAAAGCUCCGGCGGUGAAGGAUGAGCCCGCGGCCUAUCAGCUUGUUGGUGGGGUAAUGGCCUACCAAGGCGACGACGGG
rnacentral:rRNA from 1 species